rnacentral:tRNA from 1 species
AAGCCCUGGGGUGUCACAUAUUAGAUUGCAAAUCUAAAGAAGCAGACUAACGUCUGCCGGGGCUUU